rnacentral:rRNA from 2 species
CCUACGGGAGGCAGCAGUAGGGAAUCUUCCGCAAUGGACGAAAGUCUGACGGAGCAACGCCGCGUGAGUGAUGAAGGCUUUCGGGUCGUAAAAACUCUGUUGUUAGGGAAGAACAAGUGCUAGUUGAAUAAGCUGGCACCUUGACGGUACCUAACCAGAAAGCCACGGCUAACUACGUGCCAGCAGCCGCGGUAAUACGUAGGUGGCAAGCGUUAUCCGGAAUUAUUGGGCGUAAAGCGCGCGCAGGUGGUUUCUUAAGUCUGAUGUGAAAGCCCACGGCUCAACCGUGGAGGGUCAUUGGAAACUGGGAGACUUGAGUGCAGAAGAGGAAAGUGGAAUUCCAUGUGUAGCGGUGAAAUGCGUAGAGAUAUGGAGGAACACCAGUGGCGAAGGCGACUUUCUGGUCUGUAACUGACACUGAGGCGCGAAAGCGUGGGGAGCAAACAGGAUUAGAUACCCUGGUAGUCCACGCCGUAAACGAUGAGUGCUAAGUGUUAGAGGGUUUCCGCCCUUUAGUGC